GGGCAUCCGUUUUUCACUUUUCCGCCCAACAGUGUUCCGUCCCUUUAUCUCACUCCUAAAAACCCUAGAUCUUCCAAUUCUUCUUUUGUACUCCUCUUCCUUUCUCAUAGCGAUUCAAGAAACCAAUCUACGAUUCCUCUUUAGAUCUGUGUUUGUUUCUUUUGAUUCCUCAUUACUGUUUUCUUUACAGGUGGGGGAAUUGAUUCCUUACUGAAAUCGGUGAACCCUGUAUCAAUCAUUCAUUCGCAAUCCUAUGUCACCUCUUCCUUGACAAGUGAACCCUAAAUUGAUCCCCCAAAGCCUCUCAUCCAGAGUGCUGAAUAUCAAGUUUAAUGCUGCGAAGGUCUUGCAAUCUCGAGUUCCUAUAGUUGACCAUUCGUGAUAUACUACUUUAUUAGAAGUGAGCAAGUUGCCUAAUUAUAGCAGGUUAAUUCUACUGCUAUAAUUAACAAGAAAAGAUGAGAGAUGAUAACUAGGGCUGCAAACGAACUGAACAGUUCAUGAACCGUUCGGCGGGAAAUUCGUUUGUGUUCGUUCAUUUAAUUCUUUAGAUAAAAGAACUGGACAAUUUGUGUUUCUUUUACCGUUCGGCGUGAAAUUCGUUUGUCAUCACCCGAUGGUCUCCUUGCCGAGAGUGCUACAUCCUAUGAUUCUUAGUUGGGGUCUUUCGCUAUAAACCCUUUGACGCUAAAGUGGACUGGAGUAUGGUUGCUAAGGCUUCUCCAUGUUAUGUGACAAUACAUCUUUCUUUAUACUCUUUUUGUUUUGUAAUCUCUGGGAAAAUGCUUAUGAGAUGCCUUUGCCUUUGGUCAGUAUCUGAAGAACUCUGUAGAUAAAAUUGUUAACUUUUUUGAAAGCAAUGCUGUCGUGAGUCAGAAGAUAGCCUUGGAAACAGCCGCUGCUGUGCAGAUGACGAUCGAUGAGGUUAAGCGCUCUACACAACUGCAAGUAAACAAGGCCCUGAAGGAUCAUGCCAAGUGUGUAGUUUUUUUUUUCAGUGGUGACAAUAAGUUUUACCAGUUUUGCCAGUUUUUUGGUUGAUUAUAGUUAUUUACAUGGUUCUUCUUGGACUUAGAUAUAGCAGCUCCCAAGAUCACCAUUCCAACUGAAUUUUCACCUGACAGUUUUCAUUCGACAUAACUCUUGCUUGACCUCGGAAACUUGAUAAUUCGUACUCAGGUUGGUGGAUUUUGAUUAUUAGCUUUAAUAUCAUUUCUCUUAGUGAACUACAAGUCGCAACCGACAGUUUUAGUAGCAACUAAACUUAGAGUUCAAACUCGAUUUGUUGUUUAUUAUUCAGUCUUUGAUCCCAAUCACACAUAAUGACCGGCGUUCUGAUUUACUUGGUUCCGAAUUCUCCAGCGACGUUUCCUGGCCGACAACCCUGAAUAGAUAAUCGCCUCCUUGGUGAUUUGAAUUUGUACUUGCUGACUUUAACAUACUGAAGUUGUCUAAAUUCACUUUUUUCAAGUGUUUAACUGUAUAAAAACGUUAUAUAUGAUUAUGGCUUCACAGGUUCAAGUAAGCAUGACAACAAGGGUAACACACACUCUCUCUCUGUGAUGCAUAUGAGAUUGUGAUGCAUAUGAGAUUGUUAUUAUAUACUGUUAAGUUAAAUGCAUGUAACUAUGAUGUCUGUUGAAAUUUUCAGAUAAACGCCUUCCACCCCUGGCAUAUUCCUGGCACGAUUUACCCUCAAAGAAUAAUAAUAAUGUUCUAACCUUGGUUAGCAUAUGGGCUCCUAUAGUGGCUCUGUGUAAUUUUUUCUCUUUCCAAUCUGCAAGUUAUUUAUAAAACAAUUUAUUUUGAGCAAUAUUUGUUUCAUUAAAAGAAGUCUCAUCUGUUAUGUGUAUUUGGUGAAACCCGAGUAUGAUGUGCAGGUUAGUCAUAUUAAUUUUUCUUUUAAUUAUUGCAGAUAAAAACUUUGAUGAUCUUUUUUGUUAUAUAUGUAGGCUUGGUGUAUGCUUCUGAAUGACAAGGUUUCUUUUAGAAUGCAAUGGCCACAGUUCGCAGAGCUACAAAUCAAUGGAUGGAGUCAUUUUGCUCAAUUCACAAUAGAUGUGGUGAAUAAAGACCCCAAGAAAUCAAAAUAUUCUGAUACAUUACAUCGCUUCUGGAAGAAACAGCAUGACUGGGGAUGGAAAAGGUUCAUGGAAUUAUCCAAAGUGUUAGACGGGCUUCUCGAUGCCGACACGCUCAUAAUAAAAGCUCAAGUCCAAGUUAUCAGGUUUUUAGCUACUUUAAUGAUCUAACGUAAAUUCAUUCAUAAUGUAUCUUAUUUUGUCGAUAUCUAUUUUGAUUGGUGCGUGUUCGAGCAAUUAAUGUUUGAUACUUUGAUUUCUUACGGAAAUAGAAUAAUAGCUGGUCUAACAAAUUCGGCGUAAAACGGUUAGAUUAUUUAAGACUAAUUGUACUUGAAUAGGAUAUAUUAACUCAAUAUAGCCAUAUUAAGUUAUUGCACUCGUGUGAUAAUACUACAUACACUUGAAUAGGAUAUAUUAACUCAAUAUAGCCAAGAAAAGUUUAUGAAAAGUUUAUAACUCUUCUUAUAGCGAAGACAUUAAUAUAUCAUGUUUUUUGUAUGAUCUUAAGUGUGUAUUAAUUAAUAAUAAUAAUUAACCUAAAUAAUUUUCUUGAGUCCGGAAAGCAAUCCCGGCUAGUACUAGUUAUAUAUAACAAAUGAAAAGAAUUAGGGCCACGUGUCACAAUAUUAGAGCACUUUGGGCGGGAAAAUGUUUGGGCUAUCCCCGUUUUAUUUACGCGCACUGGAAACUUGAUAAGGAUCUAUUGAAAACCCUAAAAUUCACAGCUUCAAAAGUCAGGUGAUCUGGAUUUUUGUUUGGUUCUUCUUCAUUCAAACCCUUAAUCUCCUCUGAAGUUGUGUCUUCAAUCUUCCUCGCUCUCUGCGUUGGAUCUUCCUCGCUCUCUGCGUUGGAUCUUCCUCUAAUUCUGUAUGAUUGAAACAUUGGAGCAUAUGAUGAUGGAAUAUGACUGGGUUCAAGGUUUCAUCAAGCAACUUCAGUUUCUUCAAAAAUGCGGACAAAUUCAUAAUUACGGAGAUUAAUUUUGCGGAAAUUAGGGAUUUCAUAACACUUUCUGCUGUUGAAUCUCUUCAAUUUGUGUCCAUGUUGAUUCAAGGGUCAUUAUUUCUCCAAUUUGAAGG